UAUUGCGCAAUGGGGGAAACCCUGACGCAGCGACGCCGCGUGAAGGAAGAAGGCCUUCGGGUUGUAAACUUCUUUGAUGAGGGACGAAGUCAGUGACGGUACCUCAAGAACAAGCCCCGGCUAACUCCGUGCCAGCAGCCGCGGUAAUACGGAGGGGGCUAGCGUUGUCCGGAAUCAUUGGGCGUAAAGCGCACGUAGGCGGUUCUUUAAGUCUCGCGGUGAAAGGCUGGGGCUCAACCCCAAGCAUGCCGGGGAUACUGGAGGACUGGAGACAGGUAGAGGCCAGCGGAAUUCCGGGUGUAGCGGUGGAAUGCGUAGAGAUCCGGAAGAACACCGGAGGCGAAGGCGGCUGGCUGGACCUGAUCUGACGCUGAGGUGCGAAAGCGUGGGGAGC
rnacentral:rRNA from 1 species